UACCAGCACCCCGAGUGGUCGGGACGAUUAUUGGGCCUAAAGCAUCCGUAGCCGGUUUUACAAGUCCUCCGUUAAAUCCAGCUGCUUAACAGAUGGGCUGCGGAGGAUACUAUAAGACUAGGAGGCAGGAGAGGCAAGCGGUACUCAGUGGGUAGGGGUAAAAUCCGUUGAUCCAUUGAAGACCACCAGUGGCGAAGGCGGCUGCCAGAAUGCGCUCGACGGUGAGGGAUGAAAGCUGGGAGCAACCGG
rnacentral:rRNA from 1 species